rnacentral:rRNA from 1 species
GACGAACGCUGGCGGCGUGCUUAACACAUGCAAGUCGAACGGUAAGGCCCUUCGGGGUACACGAGUGGCGAACGGGUGAGUAACACGUGGGUGAUCUGCCCUGCACUUCGGGAUAAGCCUGGGAAACUGGGUCUAAUACCGGAUAGGACCACUGCCUGCAUGGGUGGUGGUGGAAAGCUUUUGCGGUGUGGGAGGGGCCCGCGGCCUAUCAGCUUGUUGGGGGGGUGAUGGCCUACCAGGGCGACGACGGGUAGCCGGCCUGAGAGGGGUACCGGCCACACUGGGACUGAGAUACGGCCCAGACUCAUACUGGAGGCAGCAGUGGGGAAUAUUGCACAAUGGGCGCAAGCCUGAUGCAGCGACGCCGCGUGAGGGAUGACGGCCUUCGGGUUGUAAACCUCUUUCAGCACCGACGAAGCGCAAGUGACGGUAGGUGCAGAAGAAGGACCGGCCAACUACGUGCCAGCAGCCGCGGUAA